AACGAACGCUGGCGGCAGGCCUAACACAUGCAAGUCGAGCGAAGCCUUCGGGCUUAGCGGCGGACGGGUGAGUAACGCGUGGGAACGUGCCCUUCUCUGCGGAAUAGCCACUGGAAACGGUGAGUAAUACCGCAUACGCCCUUAGGGGGAAAGAUUUAUCGGAGAAGGAUCGGCCCGCGUUAGAUUAGGUAGUUGGUGGGGUAAUGGCCUACCAAGCCUACGAUCUAUAGCUGGUUUGAGAGGAUGAUCAGCCACACUGGGACUGAGACACGGCCCAGACUCCUACGGGAGGCAGCAGUGGGGAAUCUUAGACAAUGGGGGCAACCCUGAUCUAGCCAUGCCGCGUGAGUGACGAAGGCCCUAGGGUCGUAAAGCUCUUUCGCCAGGGAUGAUAAGACGUA
rnacentral:rRNA from 1 species